AAAAGAAGUCGAAAAUGUAGAAUACAAAUUUUUCGUUCGAGGCUUUGUUUUCGAGAAAAUCGACUUUGAAUUUUGUCUCGGUACGCGUGCACUUUACCGCGUCUCGUUAUAACGGAUCUCACUGUAGAUCGUUGUCUCGAUGGAAAAAUUAAAAAAAAAAAAUUUUUAUUCUAUAUUUUCGACUUCUUUUUUCGCGUAGAAUCACCCCCUUUCCGCUUGUACCACGAGUUACCAACCACCCUGUAUAUUGAAUAUCUACGUACUUAUCGUAAAUAGGCAAUUCUAGCGUAAAAUCUGCUAUUUAAUUUGCGGCGGGCAGAUGAGCUCGUUAUUUUCAGAAACGAGUGCCUUCCAACAAGGCGGACGUUCCUGCACACAUGGAAUCCACGUGCAAUUUACACGUGAAGAUUUGCAGGCGCGUUCAUGUAGAACAAAAAACGAUGUCAUCAUUCGAGCGUCUAGAGACAAAGCCGUGCAUACCACUGUCAACGUCGUAAAUACACCAUGAAAUCGUGGAAAGAACAGCAGUUUUGUCAGAGUCGUUUACUCGUUACUAUACAGACGCUUUUAUCGUGCCAUUUGAUCGAUAAAGUAGAAGAUCUGUCACGAUAUCCGGAACAAUCAAUCUUCGAAGACUCGACGUUGUGCAGUGUGCAUAAAAGUCAAUCUUAACGAUUUACCGACCGCUAGCGAUUCAACACCAUGCGCACGUCCUACCGGCAUCUCAGGCGCAGAUCCUCCCUGGUUUUGGUUUAAAUUCUGCAAUACCAUUCUUUUCGUUCAUUGCGAACGGCAAGUUUUUCAAAUUGGUAUAAAACAAUAGGAGCUUACAAAGCAAGGCAAUUGAUGCGACUGAGCAAGGUAUUUUAGUACUAAAUAACAAAUUACUGCUUAAAUAAUGAGAAAGAUUAAUAGACUAUCGGUCGGUGAGCGUCGGCGAUAAAAACCAAUUAAUAAGCUAUCGGUCGGUAAAGUGUUAAGUACAGAUGCUACGCUUUGACGUUAGCCAUAAGGCCGAGAAGCGAUGUUAUUCGUAAUUUUAUGAAAACAUUUAUUUAAAAAGCUGCUUUUCUUAUGUUGAUACUAAUAUUUGACCUAUUAUCAUUCUAUUAGGUCGUCCGAAAAGUUUCUUUCGUACGAUCCAUUUUGUUCUAUCAAGAUAAAGAUUACAACGUUCGACAGGUUAGGUUUCAUGUUUGUAUAAAGAUGCGUUGUUGUCAAAGACGGGUCUGUAAAAGAAAGACACUUUUCGGACAACCUAAUAUUAUUAUCGCUAAUUGAUAAAAUAAAUUUCCCGCUGCUAGCCCCAAACAUCAGUCUCGGGAGACUCGAUAUUUCUAAAUUCCCAUAAAUGCCAUUUGCCAAAUUUUCUCGUAGAUAUCGUUCGUGAAAUUCGCAGAAACGUGAAAUUUUACAAAAAAACUUUCUUUCCUAUACCGAUGCUACUCGAACCAUUACUAUUCCAUCAUUUCUGUUAAUCGAUAAAAUGGAACAUUUGCUAUCGUAAAAUACAGCCUUGGAAGAGUUUUAACGCUGCGAAAGCUGCAUAAAUUUAUCCGCCGAGGAACUUCAAUAUCCCGUGAAAUUUCGCUAUCAAAGUUUCAGUCAAUGUAUAAAGCGAAAACCAGAGAAUCCUAGAAUAGUCGCCAUCUGUUUAUGAAUAUCUUGCAUCAACGUUGCUAGCGAACACGCGACUUAAUAGCAGGUAGAUACAUUUCAGAAAAAUUCUGGAGAACAGUUGCAAGUGUAUACGUGUAUACGUAUGUAUUAUCAGUAGCCGCAUAGAUGGCGCGACUCGCCCUUGAAAAAUAGUCUCGACGAGACACGAGGCGAGAAGAGAAGUUGCACUUUCUCCGAAUCGUGGACCGGCGUUCGAGCACGUUUUGGCCCGGCGCCAACUUCACUCGAAAAGUGAAGGAGACACACCGCGGUAGCGAUGAGCUCAAGCACGCGUUGAACUUGAUCCCAUCGCUACACGUUCAACGAAGCUGGGGAGCAACUGUGGCGAAUUUUCUUGGCGAAUGCAUCGGCCUUGGGACGAGGGUUCGUGUGCACCGAGCGGAUAAAUUCGCGCGUUAACUCCACGAGCUUCUGUAUCGUGAGCAUGCGACUGCGAUCUUCAGCUACUCAACUUGAUUGCCUUCUGCCGCAUAGAAAAGGAUAAUAGAUUUUUCCAUCGAGCUUCGUCGAUUCUUCUUCCCGGAUUAUCCGACAUUGGAAUACGUAUACAUACGCUCUUCUUUCACCACGAUAAACUAAGCUGCUCCGUGUCGCCUUAGAUUACGAACAUAAUGGACCCGUUUGCUGACAAACGCAACGUUCUGAAUACCUCGGAACAAUCAAACAUAUAGAGCAGAUUUUUAAUAUCAAAGGGUUAUACGGUAGAUUCUAGACAACGAAAUAACGAAGAAAUAAUCGCGUACAAAAGUAUCGAUCAAGGCUUAUUUUUCAAUCUACAUGGUAGAAAUUCGUUGGUUGAAAUAUAAAAGAAAAGGAAUAAAAUUAUAUUUAACACUAGAAUUACCACACCGGUCAAAUCGACUGGUUCUACAAUUUUAUUUUAAAAUUCCUACUUCGUGUUAUAUUUUUUAUUUUCACAAUGACUUUCGCAGCGAUAACUAAAAGAAUAAUAUAAUGAAUUUUAUUUUGUCUUUUACGUAUUCAAACUGAAAAUAAUUUUGUAUCAAGACUACUUAUACCAAUACCAGUCAAAAUGGCGGGUACUUGUCAAAGUGUAAAAGGGUCCUGCAAUCCGUUUAUCGAACCCAAUUAAUUGGUUUCCUCGUUUUGUACAACUUGCCACACGUUUUUUAUAUUUGUACUGCGUAUCGUUCGAUAUGACGAUAUCAGUUAUCGGGAAAAUUGCGGAUCGAUCGCUAGAUCGCUUGAUGCUGACGCUAGAAAUACCACAGCGGUGAAAACGACUGGUUCUACAAUUUUAUAAAUGUGGCAACCCUCGUUUAGGGAUCAUUUUAGGGAUAAUCGUUAAUAACACUAAAAAUGUACUGCAUAACAUAGAAUUGCUUCUGUGAGAAUGUAAUAAAUCAAUAAAUAUAAAAAUAUUCUAUUAUUACUUUAUUAUUAUUAUUUUAUUAUUUUAUUAUUAUUACUUUAUUAUUAUUUUUUAAAGACCAGUCAUUUUCACUGCUUUUGGUUGAAAUAGCUUCGGUGGUUCUAGUGUUAAGAUUACGAAAGAUCAAGAACAGAUUUAUUAGAAAUAAUACUCGGUGUAUGGAGCGUGAAAAAGUUGAACUAUUUCUUCGUUCAAUUACGUGUUCUUAUUAGCGGUAAUUCAUUAAGCAUUGCAAGACACGUCGAACGAGGUAACUCGAGCGUGUGUUUGAACUAUAAUUUAUCAUUUGACGAACAUCAACAAUAGUCUCAGGCGAAGCUUUGAAGCAAGCACCUACGCUUGUCUAUGUGUGUCACCGUGUUUGCAGGAACUUUGCCUCAGAGAACUACGUUUCACGAACAUGUUCGCGAACAUGCAAAUAAAUGGCAAACAGGCGACGAACAGUUGGCAAACACCACGGUAGAGGCGCAUCGUGAAAACAACUUUCGAAACGUUGCUGAUAAAGAUCGUUUUCUUGGAAAAUCCAGUUAACGAUCCUUUCAUUAUCGUCGAUCAACGAGGAAUUUGAAACGAUGGAAAGUUAUUCCCCCGGCUCUUACAGACUAUCGAGUAAAUGAAAUUUCAUAAUUGCAUGAAUUUUGUUUUUCUAAUAUUCUCAUCGAAUAGAAAUGCUACGUUAGUUCAAGGUGGCUCAAGGUUCAUUUUUGGUACGCUCCUGCGUUCUUGCGAUUUUCAAAAAUCAUUCAAUCAAUUUCCGAGUGUUACGAUGGUUACAAGAAAUUGUAGUGUACAACGAAAAAUGAAUAUUUUUCGUUCUUCCUUUUUUUUUUUUUUUUUCAAGCUUAACGCGUUGCAUGUUCUAUUUUGAUAUAUGAGAAGAUACGAAGUCGCCACGUUACGGCAUAGAAUGAAGAUAAGAAAGAUUAAUUUUCGUCUUCUAAGAAUUACUGAAACUCGAUAUUCCCUCCUUUUCCCAUGGGUCCUUCGUUCCCGAUCAUCGCGAACAUAAUUGUUGUUAUAUCUAUAUUUAGAGGUAGGAUCGCGUUAGUUGUUACUUUAUUAUUCGGAUGAUAAACACCACGCUUCUCGGAGUCGAAAAACCUCUAUGGCACACACUUGGAAGGGACACGAACGAACGAACGAAAAGGAAGUCUUAAACUAUCGAUCUGGUCUAUCGACCGUGUCUAGUAAUAUCUCCUAGUUACUUUUUUUUGUAACUAGCCGUCAGCAUAUAGAUGGCGAGCGAGGACUCGCGUUGUCAUUUUCAACAAUAAUAAAUAAUUUUAUACUUCGUUUAAUAAUCGUAAUAGCGAAUGGCGGCAAAACAUUUCAGUAAUAGUACAGUACCUAAUAUCAUUGCGGUAAUGUUCAGCUGUGAACGGAUAAUUGCAGCGCGGAUUGUUACGCAAUUUCCUAUUUUUAUGAUAACAGCUAAGAGAGAUGGAACCUACGUAAUUGGUUUUGCCCAGUAAAACUUAUGACAGGGCGAUUCGAAAAUCCAAGGAAAGGAAAUAUGAAGCAAAAAUGAUGGAAAGAGUUCGUUAAUUUUGUGUUCCUUACAUAUAAAUUGUAACGGAUCAUCUGGCAAUUCUGUAAUUCUACUAGAGAAGAAUUCGAGCUACAGAAAUUCGAAACGAUCGAUAAACGAAGGAAUUCGUUACUUUUGUACCCUUCGUCGAUAAUAAAAUGCGAUAAUGAAGAAUUUUACAUUUUUCUCCUACAAUCCUCGUAUUCUAUCAAAUACAAAAUAUUCAUAUCAUAUACAUCCUGCGGCUUCGAAUUGCGCAUAAAUACACAGAAAUCCGCGAUCUAAAGAAAAGCCAUGGUACGCCCCAUUAAUAUCGCAACGAUAUCGAUAUCGUAACAUUAUGUGAGAAAAUAACUAACGCGUAAUGUGGGUGUCACGCGAAUGCUUACGAGAUUGUCAUGCAAUGAGUGAUUUGUGGUAUUUGAUUGUAAACGCUAUACACACACACACAUAUACCACGACUAUGGGAUCGCGUAUACAGUUAGAAAACUGGUUUUCGCCUAACCGUGCGUCAAGCACGGUAUAUGAAUCGACCAUAAUCGAAGCCUUGCCAUUCUCGUGUACCGUACAGCAUCUGCUGCAUUCACGCGAGAUACGCGCGUGUGUCAGCAUCGUGACGACCCUCGGACUUCUGCUUACGUGGCUCGAUGUCUUGAGCAAUAGAUUUUACGAAAGUCUCUCUAAGCCACGCGAAUUUUAUACACUUUGCCUUGGGAGUCGCAACGAAUUGAAAUAUACUAAACCGUAAUUCGCAAAUUUACUUAAUUUCUGCAAAGUAUCGUAUGGUUACCCGAGUCGUUCGUAUCUUUCCAGUCCGUGAAAUCGAUAUUAUUUUAGCCAUUCUGAGAAACUUGAUGGAUCGUAGUAAACGACAGUGAUUAGCAUGACAAUCUACGCGACAAAGAAAAAUAUUUACUACGACCUUUUAUUCUUGGGAUAAGGAAAGACGCAAGCGUUUGAGAAUGUUGAAGCUCGACGUUCACCGAAACUCGAAAGGCCUUGCAAUUUCCAAUGUAACUUUAGCCCAAUAUUUUUGCGAGACAAAUAUAUCUUAAUUUCGUGGAUUCCUUUUAAGAACGCGUUAAUAAUACAUUGCGUCAUUUUAGAAAGUAUAAGAGAUAUAGAAGCUUCGAUAGAUGCAGACUACUGCCACUGACUGCGUGUAUUUUUCAAUUGGUUCCAAAUUCAACCAUUACGAUCAUAGCACUCGGUGUCUGGUUAGAAAGCCGAUGAAAUUUUGGAAUGUUUUACGUAACGUGUACAACAGAUGAAUAAUUGACUGUUUAAAUACUGCGAUGAUCUUUGGCUUUGGUAUACUUUCAAUAAAUAUCCUCCAACUACUAUUACAAUUUCUGUCAAAUUUAACCAUUAUAAUCAUGGCAAUCUUGUCUCAUUGCAACGCCAAAAUUCCCAAAUGUUUUGUAUACCGCGUACGAUAUAUACACACGAUACACAAUUCAUUUUAAUGCAUCAAUAGAUUCUAAUACAUUUUGUGUAAUACAUAGAAUAUAUCCAUGAUCAGAUGGGUAUUCAAUUUUAUCAUUAUAAUCACGUCGAUCCCAUCUCGUUACAACGCCAAUGCAACCUCAAAAUGUUUUGUAUAGCUUGUAUAAUAAAUGAAUAAUUGAUCGUUCAGAUAUUACGAUGAUCUCUGACAACAAUAUACUUCCAAUAAAUUCUUUUGCAACUUCUAUAUGCAUUUUCGAAUCGGUUUCAAAGUUUGCCAUUACCAUCGCCCCAGUACCAUCCCGUUACAAAACCAAUACAAUUUCAAAAUGUUUUACAUAACCUGUACAAUAGACGAAUAAUUGAUCGUUCAGAUAUUACGAUGUUCUCUGGCAACAAUAUACUUCCAAUAAAUUCUUUUGCUACUUCUAUAUGCAUUUUCGAAUCGGUUUCAAAGUUUGCCAUUACCAUCACACCAGUCCCAUCUCGUUACAACGCCAAUAUGUUGAAAAUGACAACGCGAGUUCUCGCUCGCCAUCUAUAUGCUGACGGCUAGUUACAAAAGGGAGUAACUAGAAGAUAUUACUAGACACGGUCGAUAGACCAGAUCGAUAGUUUAAGGCUUCCUUUUCGUUCGUUCGUUCGUGUCCCUUCUAAGUGUGUGCCAUAGAGGUCUUUCGGCUCCGAGAAGUGUGGUGUUUAUCAUCCGAAUAAUAAAGUAAUAACUAACGCGAUCCUACCUCCAAAUAUAGAUAUAACAACACAAUACAAUUUCAAAAUGUUUUAUAUAACCCGUACAAUAGACGAAUAAUUGAUCGUUCAGAUAUUACGAUGAUCUCUGACGAGAAUAUAUUUCCAAUAAAUUUUUUUGCAACUGCCAUAUGCAUUUUCGAAUCGGUUUCAAAGUUUGCCAUUACAUUCACGCCAUUAUACUAUCUCGUUACAACGCCAAUGCAACUUCAAAAUGUUUUGUAUAGAACGUAUACUAAAUGAAUAAUUGGCCGUCCAAAUAUUGCGAUGAUCUCUGACAAGAGUAUGCUUCCAAUAAAUUCUUUUGCAACAUGUAUAUGCAUUUUCGAGUCAGUUUCAAAUUUUACCGUUACAACCAUAGCCAGCCCUAUCUCGUUAAAAUGUUUUAUAUAACGUGUACAAUACAUGCACGAAAGUAUUCUAUAGUAAAUGUUUGGAAUACUUUGGCGAGCUACUGUAUACUCGGAAAAAUACAAAAAUCUCGCGCAAAUAUCCCCGGCUUGCU